UUUAGAAGAACAAAAGUAGAUCCCUCUUGCCUUGCAGAAAUUUUGAAUAAAAAUAUACCAAAGACUUAAGAAUUAGACUAGACACCUGCCUACUGCUAGAAGCACACAUAGGAUCAGCACUCCAUCAUAUAGGCAGAGGAACUAAUAUCAUCACAAAGACUCCUAAUGUUCAAAAAAUAAGCAAGAAUCAUUAAGUGGGAGAUUAUCAAGUUAGAAAGCUUCUGCACAGCAAAGAAAAUGAUUAAGAGUGUGAAGAGAGCCAGGCACAAUAGUGCACGCCUAUAAUCCCAGCAGCUCAGGAGGCAGAGACAGGAGGAUUGGGAGUUCAAAGCCAACCUCAGCAAUGAUAAGACACUCAGCAACUCUGUGAGACACUGUCUCAAAUAAAAUACAAAAUAGGGCUGAGGAUGUGUCUCGUGGUUGAGGGCUCCUGAAUUCAAUCCCCCGUACUGGAAAAAAAAAAAAAGAGCUUGAAGAGAGCCUACAGAAUGGGAAAAUAAAUCUUUGCCAGCUAAUCCUUUGACAGGGGAUUAAUAUCUAGAAUAUAUAAAGAACUCAAAAAGCUUAACACCAAAAACAAAACCCCAAAACAAUUAAACAAAUCAAUAAAUCUGCAAAAGAACUAAACAGACAUUUCUCAAGAUAAGAACCACAAAUGAUAAACAAAUACAGGGGGAAAAAUGUUCAACAUCACUAGCAAUCACCGAAAUACAUAUCAAAACUACAGUAAGAUUUCAUCUCACUCCAGUCAGAAUGGCAAUUAUUAGGAACAAUCAAUAAAACAAUUAAACAAUAAAAAUAAAAAUAAAUACGAUAAAAAUAAAUGUCAGGGAAGGCAUGAGAAAGAAGUAUAAUAUUACAUUGUUGGUGGAACUGCAAUUUAGUACAACCACUCUGAAAAGCAAUAUGGAUAUUCUUCCAAAAACUAGGAAUGAAACCUUCUUAUUCACCCAGCUUUCACACUCCUUGGUAUUUAUCCAAAGGAACUAAAAUCAGCAUCAUAUAGUGAUACAGGCACACCAAAGUUUAUAACAGCACAACUCACAGUAGCCAAGUUAUGAGACCAACCCCAGGUGCCUGUCAGUAGGCGAAUAAAUUAAGAAAAUGCAGUUUAUCUAUACAAGAGAGUUUUACUCAGCCAUUGGGAAAAAAAAGUGCAAUUAUGGCUUUGUUGAUAAAUCGAUGGAACUGGAGAACAUCAUGCCAAGUCAAAGAAGCCAGACUCAGAAAACCAAGGAUUGAAUGUUUUCUCUCAUAUAUGGAGGCUAGAGCGAAG
rnacentral:lncRNA from 1 species